CCUACGGGAGGCAGCAGUGGGGAAUAUUGGGCAAUGGAGGAAACUCUGACCCAGCAACGCCGCGUGAAUGAUGAAGGUCCUCGGAUUGUUAAGUUCUUUUCUUAGGGAAGUAGAAAGUGACGGUACCUUAGGAAUAAGCCUCGGCUAACUACGUGCCAGCAGUCGCGGUGAUACGUAGGCGGCAAGCGUUAUCCGGAAUGACUGGGUGUAAAGGGUGAGUAGGUGGUUUGACAAGUUAGUAGCGUAACUCGGAGGCUUAACCGCGGAAUGACUACCAAAACUGGUAGACUCGAUGACAGGUGAGGCAGACGGAAUUCGUGGUGUAGCGGUGGAAUGCGUAGAUAUUAGGAAGAACACCAAUGGCGAAGGCAACUUACUAAACUGGAACUGACAUUGAGGCACGAAAGCGUGGGUAUCAAACAGGAUUAGAUACCCUAGUAGUC
rnacentral:rRNA from 1 species